rnacentral:rRNA from 1 species
UACGUAGGUGGCAAGCGUUAUCCGGAUUUAUUGGGUGUAAAGGGCGUGUAGGCGGGAGCGCAAGUCAGAUGUGAAAACUCAGGGCUCAACCCUGAGCCUGCAUUUGAAACUGUGUUUCUUGAGUGCUGGAGAGGCAAUCGGAAUUCCGUGUGUAGCGGUGAAAUGCGUAGAUAUACGGAGGAACACCAGUGGCGAAGGCGGAUUGCUGGACAGUAACUGACGCUGAGGCUCGAAAGCGUGGGGAGCAAACAGG